CCUACAUAUUUGGUUUAGGCAAGUCAGUAGAUGGUGGUGGCAUUUGCAAAGAUAAGAAAUGAGAACCCCAUUGGUAAUCUUUCUUUCUUUCUUUCUCUUUCUUUCUUUCUUUCUUUCUAUCUUUCUUUCUUUCUUUCUUUCUUUCUUUCUUUUUUUCUUUCUUUCCUUCUUUCUUUUCUUUCUGGACCAUGUAAUAGUUCUUAUAUUGUUCACUAGUACCCAGUUUCCCUCUACUUUCAGGCUUAAGGGAAGGUUACACUUUCACACUCGAACAUACACACGGACUAUGAUUUUCUCUGGCCAAUUAAAUAAGUCCAAUUGAGGAUGAUGUAUUUCAGAAAAUUUUUCCUUGACAAGUUAUAAGUGACCAAUUUAGUCAUAAUGAUGUUCACAAUUUUUAUUAGGGGAAAAAAGCAUCAAUUAGCCAUGGCUUGAAUUUUGAUUCUAAAAUCACAAACGUUCUUCAUAGUACUGAGUCCCUUAAAAUGUUGUUCAUUAUUUAUACCUGAAAAGCAAUAAUCCAUACAUGUGGUCUUGGAAAGUUAUC
rnacentral:lncRNA from 1 species